GAUGAACGCUGGCGGCGUGCCUAAUACAUGCAAGUCGAGCGAACGGACGAGAAGCUUGCUUCUCUGAUGUUAGCGGCGGACGGGUGAGUAACACGUGGAUAACCUACCUAUAAGACUGGGAUAACUUCGGGAAACCGGAGCUAAUACCGGAUAAUAUUUUGAACCGCAUGGUUCAAAAGUGAAAGACAGUCUUGCUGUCACUUAUAGAUGGAUCCGCGCUGCAUUAGCUAGUUGGUAAGGUAACGGCUUACCAAGGCAACGAUGCAUAGCCGACCUGAGAGGGUGAUCGGCCACACUGGAACUGAGACACGGUCCAGACUCCUACGGGAGGCAGCAGUAGGGAAUCUUCCGCAGUGGGCGAAAGCCUGACGGAGCAACGCCGCGUGAGUGAUGAAGGUCUUCGGAUCGUAAAACUCUGUUAUUAGGGAAGAACAUAUGUGUAAGUAACUGUGCACAUCUUGACGGUACCUAAUCAGAAAGCCACGGCUAACUACGUG
rnacentral:rRNA from 1 species